rnacentral:rRNA from 1 species
CGGUUAAGUUAGAAAGGGCGCACGGUGGAUGCCUUGGCACUAGGAGCCGAUGAAGGACGGGACGAACACAGAUAUGCUUCGGGGAGCUGUAAGCAAGCUUUGAUCCGGAGAUUUCCGAAUGGGGAAACCCACCACUCGUAAUGGAGUGGUAUCCAUAUCUGAAUACAUAGGAUAUGAGAAGGCAGACCCGGGGAAC